rnacentral:lncRNA from 1 species
CCUCCGUCCGAACAGAGAUUGGCCAUCGGGGAAGCCACGCGGUUCUGCGAUCGAUGAGUUUGCUUCUCCGUCGGAGCCUCCACCACGCUCGAGAAGGAAAGAGAAGACAGGGUUUGCGCACGUUCCGACGGAGGUUCGUCGCGGUCCUGCUUCGAGAGCCGCCUUUUUACGAGACCUUUUGUUGCUUCACCCGUAGCCAUCGAACCUGGUCCCCCCCCUC